GUCUCCAUGGCGGCACGCGCGGCAGCGAGGGCUGUGAGGGCCCUGUGCCUGGGGCUGGCGGGCCGGGCAGCCCCCGGCAUCCAUGGGCAACCGGGACCGGCGCUUGCUGGGACAUAAAGAUACAUGUAACCUUGCAUUGACAGAGCUACAUGUAACCCUACCCCAAAGAUACAGAUUAAUACUGGCGGUCGAUGCAAAUACCGGGGGAGACUAGAGAAGGCAAGAAGAAGCUUCGUUUACGCCCCGAAUCUGCCCAGCUUUCAUUGCUGAGUGUGACAUGAAGCAGUCUGGGAUGUCACCAGCCUUCCCCACUGGGUCCCUUCCUGGUGAACUCCUCCAGCCUACUCACUGGCAGUGUUGUCCCAAAUACAGGUUCUUCUGUCUUUUGUGUAAGAAGCUGACCCAUAGGAGAUAUUUGCUUAUUUCAUAUUUGUGCAGAGGUGAACCCACAAAAUCAACUACAGUCAGGCUGAAAAUUUAUACUUUCAUAAAGUAUAUGAAGCACAGAA